GUGGCACAUGCCUUUAAUCCUAGCACUUGGGAGGCAGAGACAGUUGUAUCUCUGUAAGUUUGAGGCCAACCUGGUCUACAGAUCAAGUUCCACGACAGCCAAGUUAACACAGAGAGACCCUGUCUCAAAAAUUCUUAUUUAAUGUUAAUGACCAAAAUACAACAGCUGCUUAGAGACACUGCUUUAUGGGGAAAAACAAAACAAAACAAAACCUAAAUUAGAACAGCCUAUCUAUUUUAAGGAUGUCCUAACUUAACAAUGGAAAACAGGAAAUAUGUUGUGUUAGGGAAGAGAUUUUGUCUUUGUUUCUACAGGAGAAGAAAAACUAUGGAUUCCAUCCAAAUUGAUAAAAAUCAGGUUUGUCAGGGAAGACCUAAAGAUUUUGGCUGCAGACAGAAGGAAAAAAAAUAAAGAGGACCAAACAGGACAGAUUGCUGGCGUCGAACCCUUGAACCUCCAGCCUUCGAAGCACCGAACCGGGGAGCCUCGCCCCACCCACUCAGAGAAGGGAGUUCGACAGUUUUCCGGCUACAGUGUCCCGGGAAUGUGGGACUUAGUCGUCUCGCCCCACCAUCCUCGGAUUUUAGAAUGGUUUGAAAGAAAAAGGAAACUUCCUCAGGGUUCUCCCCGCCCCCGGCCAGACAGCUGGGGGAGGAUCCCGCUCCGCUCCGCUCCGCUCUCCCGAGCGGCCGCCUCAGCUCUGGGGCGCCCCCCGGCGCCUCAAGCACAUUUUAGAAUUUUCCCAGGAGCCCCAGCGGGAGGAGGCUCCGCCCCCCUCAUGAAUACCAAGAAGCCGCGCCUCUUCUGCCUCACGGGGACUCAAAGCCCUCCCAGGAGCCCCCGCGCGGGGAGGCCCCGCCCCCUCGCCUAAAGCCCGGAGCCUGGGCGCUUCUGCCUCCUUACGGGAGGCCUCGCCCCUUCGGGAAUACUAAGGAAGAGGCUCCCCUAGCGCCCUCCUCUUCGAGGAGUAUCGUUCUGAGUGAGGCCCUGAGAGCCCCAGCCGGUGCCACCACCAUCUUAGGCACAGGCGCGCGCCUACCGCGCCACUGCGUUCUUUACACUCAGUUUUUAAGGCAGGGUUCCCUCCGGCCCCGCGCCGACCGACCAUGUCAGGGGAGAGCUUUUUAUCAGAAGUUGGAUGCCGAGUGUGAUGGCACUGGGCUAUGUUGAGAGCCUGCUUCAACAUCCACCCCCCCAAAAAAAAUAUUAAGUUCUCAUUCACUUAUUUAUAGAUGAAUUUUCUUUCCUCCCUCCCUCCUUCCUUCCUUCUUUCCUUCCUCUCUCUCUUGAGACAAGGUCUGCUUAGGUAGCCUAGGCUAGCCUGAACCUUUGACUUUCUUGCAUAAGCCUUUUAGAGUGCUGAGGUUAUAGGCAUACCUCAACGGGCAUGGCUUGAUUAACUGUCUGUGGAAGCCUGCAGAGGGGAAGGCUGGCCAGGAGGCCUUAAACAUACAACAGAGAAUGAGGAUCUGGCUUCCAUUCCCAGCACCCAUAUUUUGGCUCAUGACUAUCUGUAACUCAGUUUCCAAAGCAUCUGGUAUCUCUUCUGGACUCCUCAGGUACAUGGGUGUAGACUCGGGAAAAAAUACCCAUACAACAAAUAACAAGCUACCCGACUUCCCUGGUUGUGAAGCCUAGUGGUCAAAUCUUUGCCUAGCAUGUAGUAGGUCCUGGGUUCUAUUCCUUAUGAUGAUCAAAAACCCUGAUUUCCCUCUUUUCUAAAUCUUCCUCCAGGUUUCUUUUGGAAAUUUGCACCCCUGGAUGUUGGGAGUGUUAGUUCAGUAGUGGAAAGUGUGUACUUAACAUGUAUGAAGCCCUGGGUUCAGCUCCCUGCUCCCCCCAAAAAUAUCCUUCAAAAAACCCAGAAUGAAAUAAACAAAACAACAACAACAAAAACACCCUGCAUGGCAUGCUUUCUUCCCCAAGUGGUGCUGCAAACUUGAGAUGAUGGAAACCUUCAGUGCCUUCUAGUUGUCCAGCCUUUCUCGUGCUGUAGCUUAAUUUCGGUUUUCAUAAACAGCAGAUGAAAUAUGAACUGAAUCGAGGUCUGGGGUGCAAGCCUCUAAUUCCAGCUAGUUGGGCAGCAGAGGCAGGAAGAUCACAAGUUCAAGGCCUCCCUAGAAGAUACAGAGCGAGGUCAAGGUCAGUCUGAGGAAGCUGUUAAGACUAAAAGAAGAAGAAGACGAAGACGAAGACGAAGACGAAGACGAAGAAGAAGAAGAAGAAGAAGAAGAAGAAGAAGGCGGAUGACAUAGCUCAGUGAUAUGCUGGGUUCAAGCCUCACUACUGAACUAGCAUAUUAACGCCCUGGGUUCAAGCACCAUUACUACCAACAAACAAAACAAAAAUAAACCAACCAUCAGAAAAUCAAAACAAAACAAAAAACUAGCCAAUGGAGUUGUUGUAACCUGCUUAAACUCUGUAGUUCCUCUGUGAGACCUCCUUUAGUUCUUAGCAUAACUGUGGCUCCUCUGUUAACACCUGCUGCCGCCUUUAGCAUAUCAGACGCCAUUUUACCUCCCAGUCCCCAUCUUGAGUAUGAGGGAAAAUUAGGUUCUACGUGCCUGAGAAUGGGAUACAAUUCAAUAGUUCAGUGUUUGCUGCUUAGAGUAAAACAAUAGAUGAUAAAUGCAUACUCUGCUUGAAUUGAAGACAAAUGUAUGUUCUGUUAAAGGUAAAAAUCCCCAUAUCCCGCUAUGUUGCUUACUCCCAGAAAGCCGGAAGUCCCCCAGCGAGCUCUCCUACCCUAAAUCCCAGCCAGUCAGUUUAAAGUGCUUUGUCUAGCUACCUAGAUAUAAUACAUUUGAAACAAAAUCGCUUUUGUUUAGCUAGUCAAAAUGAUGUAAUGCUGCCCCCCCCCCCCACUGCCUACACCUGGUUACUUGGUUGUUACCUGGUAAAAACCUAAGAAAUAGACCUGCCUCAUAGUCUGGCUCCAGAGUCCAGAUCAUGGC